rnacentral:tRNA from 1 species
GGAGUGUUGGCAGAGCAGGCUAAUUGCACUGGAUUGCUAAUCCAGCGUCGCGUAUCGCGGCACAAAGGUUCAAAUCCUUUACACUCCG